ACUGCAUUGGGCGAAGGGAGAAAGGUGCGAAAGGUGAGCAAGGUGCGAAAGCUGCUAACUGAGGUGCUGAUUACCCAUCGCCAUGGCAGCCAUUUAUCCUGCAGGACAAUGGGAAGUGGGAAAGCUGGAAAAGCGCUGGCGGAAAAGUAUGGGCAACCACUCAGCUCAAUUAAAAAAUCGUUAAAGGAUAAACAAGUGCUUUUCCGUUUCACAAAUACGUUAUAGCUCUUUUAGACGGGAGAGUCAAGUGGUUCCCAUCAUCAAUUAAACUGAUACCAUACGAAAAUACUAGAAAGCCAGCAGUUAUGUGAACUGUAAAGAAUUGCUAAAUACCCUGGAAUAUAAUCUAUGAAAUAUCGAGUAGUUUUGAAAACAGCAGCCUGAGUCGCUUCCCUCAAAUUCCUGAUCCAAAAUGUAUAUAUUUCCACCAUAUACCCUGCUCCUGAUCAUCCUCCGCAUUAUGAGUGUCCGCACUAUGAGCUUCGACCUGCCCCACAACGGUCACGACGCCUCCCUGGCUAGCUAUCUGGACAACAUCAACGAUGACGUAUCUACCCAGAGCCUCAACUGCGAUGGGAACGGCAGUUCGGGGGUCACAGUGAUGCCAUUGCCUUAUCUGGGAUGCACCACUGGAGGCGAAAACAUGGACGAUCGGGAUCGAGGCCGCGAUUGGGAUAGAAAUACAGCCAGGGAUCUGGACAAAGACAGGAAUAAAAAUAGAGAUAGGGACAACUGUGACUCCUGUGACAGCGAUAUGUUCAAUUCGCGGCUGAAGGCCACCCACAUUGCCCAGAAUGCCGCCCAGGUGGCCAAGGCAGCAAAUGAUGCACAGGCGGCCGCCGCCCAUGAUGCAUCGCGGCAGGCGAAGAUGCAGCUGGCGGAAAAGGCCAUCUCCGCCGCCCGUGCUGCCGAUGCCGUGCUCGAGGGCAAGCAGGCCAUGGUGGACAACUACGCUAGGGAGAUCCGGGAUGCCGAGGAGGUGGUCGGACAGGUGCGCUGCUCGCUGGAGAUCAGUGAGACGAACGUGGAGGCCGCCGUUGCCGUAGUCAAAGCAGCGGAGCUUCAAGCCGAAUCAUUCAGGGUCCUGGUGCAACAGACGAGUGGCACUUUGUCGGAAAUGGAAGGCCUAAUCGACCAGGCGAACGUGGAUAUCGAAGAAAAGAAUCUAAUGCUGGCGGCGGCGAAGGCGCGUGGUGACCGCCUGGCCCGCCAGGUGGCGCAGGCCAAGUCGGAGUACGAACAGGUGAGGGAGGCGGCCUGUCGCGCUGCAUCCGCCGCCGUGGAGGCCAAGCAAAAAGUCAGCUCCGCCGCUUUGCUGUGCAAGACGUCGCCUCACCGCCCACCCAAUGCGUGUGGUUACUCACUCGACAGGAACACCUGCAACGCUCUCCUGGAUCUCUACAGGCAGCGCCGACGGCACCAACAGCGACUGCGACGGAAGAUGGUCCUGAACGAACUGGAUCGCUAUCAAGGGCAUUCACUGUACGGGGAUCACUCAUACUAACAAAUGCGCGCCCCACUAACUGAUACCUUCCACGUCUACAAUUAUGUUUUUCUAAACGCUGCGAAUUAUAUUCUCUAUUUGGAUAAGAGUUUCCAGUUUUUUCAACAGUUUAAGGGUAUUACUUCUUUUUGAGCGUAAAUAUUAGAUCGAAGCUAUUUAGGCUUGCACAUACAAAUGUCUUCAUUAAUGUAUGGUCAGCGAUGUACAUACAAAAAAUGUUCCUCAUAUCAAGUGACCACCGUAGCUGCCUCAAUACACAAUUGUUUACCAACAAAUUCGCCCGACAGUGUCGUAAUUCUUGCGAAAUAAACAAUAACA